rnacentral:rRNA from 1 species
CUCGGAGUUUGAUCCUGGCUCAGAUUGAACGCUGGCGGAAUGCUUUACACAUGCAAGUCGAACGGUAGAGGGGGCAACCCUCGAGAGUGGCGAACGGGUGAGUAAUAUAUCGGAACGUGCCCAGUCGUGGGGGAUAACGUAGUGAAAUUACGCUAAUACCGCAUACGAUCUAAGGAUGAAAGCGGGGAUCGCAAGACCUCGCGCGAUUGGAGCGGCCGAUAUCAGAUUAGGUAGUUGGUAGGGUAAAGGCCUACCAAGCCAACGAUCUGUAGCUGGUCUGAGAGGACGACCAGCCACACUGGAACUGAGACACGGUCCAGACUCCUACGGGAGCAGCAGUGGGGAAUUUGGACAAUGGACGCAAGUCUGAUCCAGCCAUUCCCGCGUGCAGGAUG